rnacentral:rRNA from 1 species
CUACGGGUCGCUGCAGUGGGGAAUAUUGCGCAAUGGGCGAAAGCCUGACGCAGCGACGCCGCGUGAGGGAUGAAGGUCUUCGGAUUGUAAACCUCUUUCAGCAGGGACGAAGCGAAAGUGACGGUACCUGCAGAAGAAGCACCGGCUAACUACGUGCCAGCAGCCGCGGUAAUACGUAGGGUGCAAGCGUUGUCCGGAUUUAUUGGGCGUAAAGAGCUCGUAGGCGGUUAGACACGUCGGAUGUGAAAACUGGGGGCUCAACUCCCAGCCUGCAUUCGAUACGGUCUGACUAGAGUGUGGUAGGGGUAACUGGAAUUCCUGGUGUAGCGGUGAAAUGCGCAGAUAUCAGGAGGAACACCGAUGGCGAAGGCAAGUUACUGGGCCACCACUGACGCUGAGGAGCGAAAGCGUGGGGAGCAAACAGGAUUAGAUACCCUUGUAGUC